CUAACAGUCAACGAUCCCGUGUUGAGAACAAAAAAGCCUCUUUCAUGUGAGUUGGGACCUGGUAUUCUUGGAAACAUCUUUGAUGGGAUCCAGCGUCCUCUGAAAACUAUUGCUAUUAAAUCCGGAGAUGUCUAGA